AGCCCUGUCUUUUGUUUCAGCUGGACCAGACUAACACGGCUACAUUUCUAUUAACAUUAAACAGAGUGCUGUUAAGUGCAUAAAAACAAACAAAAAUCCCUUAAUGUACAAGUCGAGUAAUUUUAGAAAUUAUGCCAGCAAUAUGUACAACGGGAGACCUCCCCAAGAGCAGGCUACACUGCGUUAGGCAUGGUACAGGCGCAGAACCAAAGAUGGCCCCCAAACAAAAAAUAAAAGACAGGGAUGCAAUGGGGCAGUGUGUGGGGAGGGAAGGGGGUGUUAACUGCACACCCAGCGGGGAGAAGAGCAGCCGACAAGACUAGUAACAUAGUCCAGCAGCACAACAUGACAAUUUCUUACUCGUUUGAAAAAGGGCUGUUUUCUUGGGCUACUUUUUUUGCAGUUAUUGCCCAGGACUCAUUCUCUCUCUCCCUUUGGCUCGUCUCAAUUUAAAAACAAACCACAACAACAGCGGAGUUCCUGGUUACCCAAUUUUCCUCCAGGCAGUGCCCUUCCAAGUUCAAUCUCUGCAGUUGUCACGUCCCUCCCCCUAAAUGCCUACUUCAGAUUGUGAGAUUCGCUCUUACAUUUGAGCGUAAGAUCUAGAGCAGGGCUGGGAAACCCUUUUUUGGGUCGGGGGCCAAUGACCCAUGGAAAAAUCAGUCGGGGGCCACACACCACACAGUAGGGUUGGCAGAUGGUUUCCACAAAAAUCGUGGACACACUUGACAUUACGUCACAAUCUACAUCACAUCUUAGUUAGAAAAGUCCGGACAUUCGUAUUCUCCUCAUUUCUAUUGUCUCAAUUUGUUUCCUGGACAAAAAGCUCAAAUACUGGACUGUCCGGUUCAAAACAGGACACCUGGCGACCCUACGCACAAGCGAAAAGAAAAAACCCCUCACGGACAUGGCCCCCCAAUGGAGAAGGAAACACACUGCCCACAUUCUCCUCCUACACCAGAGCCUGGAGGCUAGUAGAUUUUGUGUGGGGCAGCAGGGGGGCUGGAGCACUAGUGAAGGCUCCCCAGUGCUGGAGGGGCCCUGAGCCCUGCAGGCCGGAUCCGCGGGCUGCAUCUGGCCCCUGCACCUGAGGCUCCCCGCCCGGAUCUAGAGAGUAGCUAGGACCUACUGUAUCAUGUGUGUUCUACUUCAGAAACCCCCCCCCACAAAACUUGCUGUAAACUCCACUUCUUUCCCUCUCCACAUUCGAGUUGGCCACCGUCUGCAUCUCUGAGCACAGCUGUGCUCACAGCAGAGGCACGGGGCAAUAGUGGGAGGUUGUCAACGCAAGCAUGGUCCAAAACGUAGGGCUGUAAACACACGAUUGGCUCACCAGCUUGGAUCGGAUUGUUGUUCGUUUAACUCGAAGAGACAGCCAAGACUAACUCACUACCUGCAGCUCAGACACCACAACACUGAACCUGGACAGCCCCGCAAACCCAGACAGACAGAUGUGGAUGCAGAGAUUCCUGGAUAAUUUUUCCGGAUACGGACACCAAUUCUGUAUCCGCGCAGCGCUCUAUGAAUCUGAAAGCAAAACCCACUCCAAGAGCAAAGUUGACAUUUGGCCAAGACAGACAAGGAAGAGGCGUUCCUACGCCGUGACUAGUCAACUGGACGCAUUUCGGUCUCACCCAUUGCUGUUGACACCUUAGGAGGACCUGACUGUUUCACAAUUGACAAUGUUCCUCAAGAACUCUCUCCCAAAACCACAGAGGCAGCACCAUGAGUAGCCAACACUAGUAGAUGGAGUAGCCCAACUUCCAGGCUUUGAGCAUUGGGCUGGCACCAAAUAAAUAUGGCACCUCCCAAACAUUCAGAGGAAAGUGAUGGCUUACAUUGACUACUCCCUAACGGCCAAUAGCCGGCAAGCCUCACUAAAUUCUUCCCAGCUCACUGCAUCCAUUUAGGGUGUUGGCUACACUAGGAAAGUUAGGAUCUAGAGUGGUACUGGGGUAAAUAUAGGUUAAUGGUUGCAAGAGUAGAAAGUCUAGUUUAGACAGGGUUGGGGUGUUUCUAACCACUAUUGUCUAACUCGGCUCCACACAGGGUUGUAUAUCUCCACCUCCGCGGUGAAUGACGGGUCCUAAUGUUGCCAGUUGAAGUGCAGGUUUAUGGCGAGUCUGCAACGAUCUCCCCCAAACAGAAACAUCACAUUGAAAAUCCAUUUGGAACUGGAAGACAACGCCCCCCCAACGGAAAAUGAAAGUGCAGGAAGGAGCUUUGGAGGGGGCGGCAUUCGACAGUGGCCUGUUUGGUAUGACUUAGUAACUCAGUCACCAAUGACUCAUUGCUAUACCGGCCUUAAGGUUUCAUUUAGCUAGACAGACAGCUGUAGUGCAGAUGUUAUAUAAAAAAUUGUGUCAGAGUACUUUCAUUCAGCUAAUGCUGCACUGAGAAUAGGCAUUCCAGUCCGACAGGAGAUGGAAACUCUUCUGGCACGUGUUAGUGAAAGUUGUUGAAAGUAUGAAACACACAAUUCUCUGGGGAUAAAUUUGUGAGCAAGCAUGCUUUUUAAAGAAUGCACACAGUAGCAAGAUACCAAAUCGGGAUCCUUUUAAAGAGAUGCUCAUCAGCUCAUGAGUCAGAUGGAAUUUUAAAAUGAGACUGAAAUACGGUGGUCAUAGCCUGUGAGCUCUGAACAGAAGGACACACACAUACACGUUUGCUUAUGAAACAACAAAAGGGGGGCGGAGGGAAGAGAACGGUACAGAAAACCGGUCUGACGGGAUUCCGGAGUACUUAUUUGUUCCCACGAAGAAUGAGAAUACGAUACUGUCCACAGAAUCAAAGGUCCGGUUACCAACAGGACACAAUCUGAGUGAAGACCUAGACAACAGACAUCCCCAAGCAGGAUGGGAGGAGGCUGGCGUUGAAUUAUCUACUUCGCAAAGGUAACACGAGAUACCAGUUCUCUGCAGUCACCUGUACCAGAUGGAAAGGACAGGCCCCGAUUCCACUUCUAACCAACAGCAGCUGCCGGAACGGAACCGGAACAGAGCGCAGGACCCCUCAGAUUGCACGUACAAAGGAAUUCUCAUGGCAUGCCGCAGCUGAUGAUGAUGUUACACCUCAAAGCCAAGGCCAGCCCUGGCGUUAGAAUGCUGUCACAGCACCUCUGGAAUGAUAAAAGCAUCAAAACACACAACGCUAAAUGUCUCCCAGGCAGCCAUGAGACAUGGGCAAGACACGGACAACACAUCACCACCUUAGGCAACUUGAUCGGACUGGGAAAGAAGAGGAUGCUAACCUGUCUCUGGGCGUGGUUACUGCAUUCAGAGCAGCCUGCGAGAUGUGUGCUUUAUUCCAGAUAGUCUGCUUAGCAAAGGAAGUUGAAACAACGACGAAACCAAAACUUCUUAGCUGCAGUCUCACUAUAUAGUUCAGAGGACGUCGUUAGCUGUUGGUGCUGUUCGUGGAACCUAAAUAAAGGAACCGGGGGAAAAUUGCUCAAUGCCAAAUAUUGUAAAUGAAGCCUUGAUCGAAUGGGACACAUAAGGCUUGUUCAGGAAAGCACAUCACUGGCAGCAUUUAAGUGCCAAUAACUUCAACAGCAUUCGAGCAUCGGGCGUCAGCGCUCUCCUGAACAGCAAUGUUUUCCUGAAUCGAGGCUUAACUGUUUCCAGCCUAAGUGAACCUGAGGGUUUCUCAGUUUGCUCUAUUAUUUCUGUCAGGUCAGACGUGCUAACUGGAAACCCACUAUCUAUCUAUCUGCAAAACCACCACCCCUGUCGUCCACUAAAGGCACCUUCCCUCCCUGCCUUUGUUAGGAAGCUUCCUGCAGAUGGUCUGAGGAAAAGACCGUACAAGGGAAUUGUGAAAAAGUCUGUGGCCUUCGGUUCAGUUUUAAAUGGCAGUUUAGGAAUUUGAGUUUUGCCAGAACACGGGGGUCCUUUUGAAUGCUCUUGAACCCAUCGCCUAUGCGGGCUGGGAGAGAACAGACAAGUUGUUCCGUGGAUUGGCCAGCUGAGACUACGAAUCAGCUGCAGCAGAGGGGACUUUCUAAGAACUUGGUGGGCCCACAUUUUGCUUCCAUUUAAGUCAAUGGGAGUUUUGCUGAGCGCUGCCAUCUUCUGGCUGUGUCAAUGGAAGCUGAGUCGUCGGCUCCUCUGGAAAUCCAUCCAAAUGUAACUCACAUGGACCCCAAAAGUCACUGGCUGCUUUUGUAAGUGUAUCUGUCAAAUAUUAAAUGUCGUUCAAAAUAUGAAGUCACUAGAACAUGUAUUGUUGUUGUUCAGGCCCUUCAGGGCAGGACCGUGGUGGCAUGGGGCACUCAGGGCUGGGGGUGUGAGGAGUCAGGGUUGGCAGAGGAGAAGGGGCUCAGGGCAGAGAGCUGGGAGGUGCAGGAGUCAGGAUUGGGAGGUGAGAAGGGGGGCCCCAGACAGGGUGUGCGCAGGAGCUGCACAGUGUCUCCCUGCAGCUGUGCUGCCUGGGGGGGAGGAGGGCAGGAAGCUUACCUCCACCCCUGCCCCCUUCUGCCUCAGUGAGGCUAUA